rnacentral:siRNA from 1 species
CAAUUCAUCACACACUCUUCA